UACGAACGCUGGCGGCAGGCUUAACACAUGCAAGUCGAACGCAUCGCAAGAUGAGUGGCAGACGGGUGAGUAACGCGUGGGAACAUACCCUUUUCUACGGAAUAGCUCUGGGAAACUGGAAUUAAUACCGUAUACGCCCUACGGGGGAAAGAUUUAUCGGGGAAGGAUUGGCCCGCGUUGGAUUAGCUAGUUGGUGGGGUAAAGGCCUACCAAGGCGACGAUCCAUAGCUAGUCUGAGAGGAUGAUCAGCCACAUUGGGACUGAGACACGGCCCAAACUCCUACGGGAGGCAGCAGUGGGGAAUAUUGGACAAUGGGCGCAAGCCUGAUCCAGCCAUGCCGCGUGAGUGAUGAAGGCCUUAGGGUUGUAAAGCUCUUUCACCGAUGAAGAUAAUGACGGUAGUCGGAGAAGAAGCCCCGGCUAACUUCGUGCCAGCCGCCGCAGUAAGAC
rnacentral:rRNA from 1 species